UACGUAGGGGCCAAGCGUUGUCCGGAUUUAUUGGGCGUAAAGAGCUCGUAGGCGGUUCGGCAAGUCAGCUGUGAAAUCUCCACGCUCAACGUGGAGGGGUCAGCUGAUACUGCUGUGACUCGAGUCCGGUAGGGGAGUGUGGAAUUCCCGGUGUAGCGGUGAAAUGCGCAGAUAUCGGGAGGAACACCAAUGGCGAAGGCAGCUCGCUGGAACGGUACUGACGCUGAGGCGCGAAAGCGUGGGGAGCAAACAGG
rnacentral:rRNA from 1 species